rnacentral:rRNA from 1 species
AACGAACGCUGGCGGCAUGCCUAACACAUGCAAGUCGAACGAGACCUUCGGGUCUAGUGGCGCACGGGUGCGUAACGCGUGGGAACCUGCCCUUAGGUUCGGAAUAACUCCCCGAAAGGGGUGCUAAUACCGGAUAAUGUCUUCGGACCAAAGAUUUAUCGCCUUUGGAUGGUCCCGCGUUGGAUUAGCUAGUUGGUAGGGUAAAAGCCUACCAAGGCGACGAUCCAUAGCUGGUCUGAGAGGAUGAUCAGCCACACUGGGACUGAGACACGGCCCAGACUCCUACGGGAGGCAGCAGUGGGGAAUAGUGGACAGUGGGCGAAAGCCUGAUCCAGCAAGGCCGCGUGAGUGAUGAAGGCCGUAGGGUUGUAAAGCUCUUUUACCCGGGAUGAUAAUGACAGUACCGGGAGAAUAAGCUCCGGCUAACUCCGUG